CCCUUAGACGUUCUGGGCCGCACGCGCGCUACACUGACCAGUGCAACAAGCAUCCGUCCUUGGCCGACAGGCUCGGGCAAUCUUUGAACGCUGGUCGUGAUGGGGAUAGACUUUUGCAAUUUUUGGUCUUCAACGAGGAAUUCCUAGUAAACGCAAGUCAUCAACUUGCAUUGAUUACGUCCCUGCCCUUUGUACACACCGCCCGUCGCACCUACCGAUUGAAUGGUCCGGUGAAGCCUCCGGAUUGGCGCGCACCCCGGUGCCGCCGAGAAGUUGGCUAAACCUUNCNAUUUAGNGGAAGGUGAANUCGUANCA
rnacentral:rRNA from 1 species